CAAUAGCGUAUAUUUAAGUUGUUGCAGUUAAAAAGCUCGUAGUUGGAUUUCGGUUAAGAGCGACCGGUCCGCCGUUUGGUGUGCACUGGUUGGUUUUAACUUCCUGUAGAGGACGUGCUCUGGGUUUAACGACCUGGACUCGGAGUCUACGUGGUUACUUUGAAAAAAUUAGAGUGUUCAAAGCGGGCUUACGCUUGAAUAUUUCAGCAUGGAAUAACACUAUAGGACUCCUGUCCUAUUUCGUUGGUCUCGGGACGGGAGUAAUGAUUAAGAGGAACAGUUGGGGGCAUUCGUAUUUCAUUGUCAGAGGUGAAAUUCUUGGAUUUAUGAAAGGCGAACUUCUGCGAAAGCAUUUGCCAAGGAUGUUUUCAUUAA
rnacentral:rRNA from 1 species